ACAAAUCGAUUGAGGAGCCAAACGGUAACAAGAGUUUAAAUUUCUGACAUGAAAUAAUCGAUUGUCAAAUGUGGAAUAAUCGAUUGUUUUGGAAAAGUAUUGCUGAAUGGCUGAGACAGAAACCGAUUAUGCAAUUUAAGGAAUCAAUUAUUAAACAAAACUGCAUAAUGAACAUAAACCAUAAACAAUCGAUUAGUGAUACUGCUAAUCGAUUUUCAUCACAGUAAAAUAAUCGAUUAUUUGCUUGGAACAAUCGAUUUUUCUGUGCCAAAACAUUAUAAUUCCCCCUAUCUUUUAGUGCGAUACCUGCAAAAUAGAAUUAAACGUCUCCGACGCUCAAGUCAGUAAUUUGUAAAGAAGUAAUAACUUAAACUAGUGUUGCCAAGUGAGAAC
rnacentral:lncRNA from 1 species